UACGUAGGGGGCGAGCGUUGUCCGGAAUUACUGGGCGUAAAGGGCGCGUAGGCGGUCUGUUAAGUUUGCUGUGAAAUGCCGGGGCUCAACUCCGGCACUGCGGUGAAAACUGGCAGACUUGAGUAUGUCAGAGGCAAGCGGAAUUCCCAGUGUAGCGGUGAAAUGCACAGAGAUUGGGAGGAACAUCGGUGGCGAAGGCGGCUUGCUGGGGCGUAACUGACGCUGAGGCGCGAAAGCGUGGGGAG
rnacentral:rRNA from 1 species